UUCCGAUGGGCAAAGGAAUUUAAUUUUCGAAUUGGCUAUAAUGCUUUAUGAUGUACAAGACAGAGAAUAGCAGAAUGUGACCAACGGGAGAAGAGAGGACUUACAAUAAGUGACCAAGUUUAAUGUAUCAUAAAUAUAUCUUGAAGAAAUCAAAAGACUAUAUGAUGAGAUAUGACAGGAGCUCUUAUCAUGCUGGAGAAGAUUGACAGAGGCAAUUAGCCUCGAAAUAUAUAGCAUAACAUCUCCUUACUUCUUAAAGGGGAGGGUGAUUAUGCGACCAACCAAAGGAGGGAGAAAGAGUCAUUCUAAAUGACUUUACUCAGAAAUGGAGAAUUAUCACCUGAAGUUGCUAGAAAGGAGCAAUAUUGUGUUUC